rnacentral:rRNA from 1 species
GAUGAACGCUGGCGGCGUGCCUAAUACAUGCAAGUCGAGCGAUCAGACGAGGAGCUUGCUCUUCUUACGUUAGUUGCGGACGGGUGAGUAACACGUGGAUAACCUACCUUUUAGACUGGGAUAACUUCUGGAAACCGUAGCUAAUACCGGAUAAUAUUUUGAACCACAUGUUUCAUUUUUGAAAGACGCUUUUGCUGUCCUUCAUAGUUGACUCGGCUCCUCAUUAGUAGUUUGGUAAGGUAAGGGCUUACCAAGGCAACGAUGAUUAGCCGACCUGAGAGGGUGAUCGGCAAAACUGGAACUGAAACACGGUCAAGACUCCUACGGGAGGAAGAAGUAGGGAAUCUUCGGAAAUGGGCGAAAGCCUGACGGAGAAAGGCCGCGGGAGGGAUGAAGGUCUUCGAAUCUAAAAACUCUGUUAUAAGGGAAGAACAAAUGGGUAAGGAAAAAUGCACGUCUUGACGGUACCUAAUCAGAAAGCCACGGCUAACUACGUG